GCACCGUAAACGAUGGAUGCUCGUCAUGCGCGAUACACUGUGCGUGACCAAGGGAAACCAUUAAGCAUCCCACCUGGGGAGUACGCCGGCAACGGUGAAACUCAAAGGAAUUGACGGGGGCCCGCACAAGCGGAGGAACAUGUGGUUUAAUUCGAUGAUACGCGAGGAACCUUACCCGGGCUUGAACUGCAGCGGAAGGAUACAGAGAUGUUGACGUCCUUCGGGACCGCUGCGGAGGUGCUGCAUGGUUGUCGUCAGCUCGUGCCGUGAGGUGUCGGCUUAAGUGCCAUAACGAGCGCAACCCCUGCCUUCAGUUGCCAUCAGGUAGAGCUGGGCACUCUGGAGGGACUGCCAUCGCAAGAUGCGAGGAAGGUGGGGAUGACGUCAAAUCAGCACGGCCCUUACGUCCGGGGCUACACACGUGUUACAAUGGGGGGCACAGAGGGCAGCUUGCCGGCGACGGCUGGCCAAUCCCGAAAUCCCCUCUCAGUUCGGACUGGAGUCUGCAACCCGACUCCACGAAGCUGGAUUCGCUAGUAAUCGCGCAUCAGCCAUGGCGCGGUGAAUACGUUCCCGGGCCUUGUACACACCGCCCGUCAAGCCAUGAAAGCCGGGGGCGCCUGAAGUCCGUUACCGCGAGGAUCGGCCUAGGGCGAAACUGGUGAUUGGGGCU
rnacentral:rRNA from 1 species